CGGGUGUAGUUCAGUGGUAGAACUCCAGCCUUCCAAGCUGGCUACGUCGGUUCGAUUCCGUCCACCCGC
rnacentral:tRNA from 1 species